UAUCCAAACAAUUUUAGUUAAUUACUUUGCAUACAAAUAAAAUUUAAAAGUUGCCAAAGAAAAGAACGUUCAUUCUUCGUCUCUCUGUUUUUUUUUUUCAAAAGAAAAGAAAAAAGGAAACAUUGUUCAACCACGUAAGUCUGCUAAUAAAUGGGUAUAAUAGUAGGGCAGAAUUUUCUCAUAUAAUUAGCUUAAUAAACAAAACAAUAAUUUAAUGGUAACAGUCAUAUGUGUUUAGAUUUGUAAAUUUAAAUAUUCUUUAAACAUUAUUUUUUACAUUAUAAAAUUUGAAAUUUUACUAUAUUUUGUAAAUAUUUUUUAAUAAUUUUUUUAUUUAUUAGUUUGAAAUGUUGGAGGUAAGAAUAAAUAGAGAGUGGGGAACAAAAACUUUAAAAUUGAAGUAUAUAUAGAAGUAAAAUUUGAAUGUUAGUGUUAUAUGUGUAGACACAUCACAUUGGUUAGCCAUUAAGCUCUCUUAUGUAUAUUCUUAUUGCGUGGGAUAGAAGAAAUAAUUUAUUGUGCACAAAAGUCAAAUUAAAUCAAACCCCAACCUCUAUAUAAACCCACUUCCCCCAUACAAAAACUAUCACAAGACUUUCCCAAAUAGAUAAAGAGAAAAAAAAAAGUUCCCAAAGAAAAAUCUCGCGAAAGAUGUCUACAACAUGCAAAGGGAAGAGUUCAUGGCCGGAGUUGGUUGGUAAAGCAGGAAAAGAAGCAGAGAAGACAAUUGAGAGAGAGAAUCCAUUGGUGGAUGCUAUUAUUGUUGAUGAAGGUUCAGUGGUGAUUCAAGACUUUAGGUGCGACAGGGUUUGGGUUUGGGUUGAUCCUAAGACAGCCAUUGUCACUAGGACUCCCUUCAUUGGUUAAAAUUGAAUAUAUAUAUAUAUAUAUAUAUAUAUAUAUAUAUAUAUGUUUUAAAUUAUGUAUUAUUUCAAUAUUAUAAUUCAAAUGCCAAUUCAUGUUUGUUCCUACCACAUGAAUAAUAUUAUUUCAAUAAGGCAUUUAUGAUCUUUUUUUCUUUUUUCUUUUUCCUUUCAAAGAUGUCUGAUAUAAUGUAAUACUUGUGUUUGCCGUAAUAAAAAUAUUUGUGAUGUGUUA